UAACACGUGGAUAACCUACCUAUAAGACUGGGAUAACUCCGGGAAACCGGGGCUAAUACCGGAUAAUAUAUUGAACCGCAUGGUUCUAUAGUGAAAGACGGUUUUGCUGUCACUUAUAGAUGGAUCCGCGCCGCAUUAGCUAGUUGGUAAGGUAACGGCUUACCAAGGCAACGAUGCGUAGCCGACCUGAGAGGGUGAUCGGCCACACUGGAACUGAGACACGGUCCAGACUCCUACGGGAGGCAGCAGUAGGGAAUCUUCCGCAAUGGGCGAAAGCCUGACGGAGCAACGCCGCGUGAGUGAUGAAGGUCUUCGGCUCGUAAAACUCUGUUAUUAGGGAAGAACAAAUGUGUAAGUAACUAUGCACGUCUUGACGGUACCUAAUCAGAAAGCCACGGCUAACUACGUGCCAGCAGCCGCGGUAAUACGUAGGUGGCAAGCGUUAUCCGGAAUUAUUGGGCGUAAAGCGCGCGUAGGCGGUUUUUUAAGUCUGAUGUGAAAGCCCACGGCUCAACCGUGGAGGGUCAUUGGAAACUGGGAAAACUUGAGUGCAGAAGAGGAAAGUGGAAUUCCAUGUGUAGCGGUGAAAUGCGCAGAGAUAUGGAGGAACACCAGUGGCGAAAGGCGACUUUCUGGUCUGUAACUGACGCUGAUGUGCGAAAGCGUGGGGAUCAAACAGGGAUUAGAUACCCUGGUAGUCCACGCCCGUAAACGAUGAG
rnacentral:rRNA from 1 species